rnacentral:rRNA from 1 species
CUACGGGACGCACCAGUGGGGAAUAUUGGACAAUGGGGGAAACCCUGAUCCAGCAAUGCCGCGUGUGUGAAGAAGGCCUGCGGGUUGUAAAGCACUUUCGGUUGGGAGGACUGCUUCUAGCACUAAUAUUGUUGGAAGUUGACGUUACCUUCAGAAGAAGCACCGGCUAACUCCGUGCCAGCAGCCGCGGUAAUACGGAGGGGUGCAAGCGUUAAUCGGAAUUACUGGGCGUAAAGCGCGCGUAGGCGGCUAGAUCAGUCGGGUGUGAAAGCCCCGGGCUUAACCUGGGAACUGCAUCCGAUACUGUCUAGCUUGAGUACAGGAGAGGAGAGUGGAAUUCCACAUGUAGCGGUGAAAUGCGUAGAUAUGUGGAGGAACACCAAUGGCGAAGGCAGCUCUCUGGCCUGAUACUGACGCUGAGGUGCGAAAGCGUGGGGAGCAAACAGGAUUAGAUACCCGAGUAGUC